rnacentral:misc_RNA from 1 species
GAAAUGCGAUAAGUAAUGUGAAUUGCAGAAUUCAGUGAAUCAUCGAAUCUUUGAACGCACAUUGCGCCCGCCAGUAUUCUGGCGGGCAUGCCUGUCCGAGCGUCAUUUCAACCAUCAAGCCCCCGGGCUUGUGUUGGGGACCUGCGGCUGCCCGCAGGCCCUGAAAACCAGUGGCGGGCUCGCUGUCACACCGAGCGUAGUAGCAAUCGCCUCGCUCAGGGCGUGCUGCGGGUUCCGGCCGUUAAACAGCCUUACAAAACCCAAGGUUGACCUCGGAUCAGGUAGGAAGACCCGCUGAACUUAAGC